AGUGACGAUGGCUGAGGAUGGCAGCUUCCAGACCUGGAUAGCAAGCUUGAAGAUUCCUGCAGAGUCCUCAGUCGCCUGGGCAAGGAGCAGGUGGCAGCGAGGCUUGGGCUAAGACAAUGCUGUUUCCAUAUUUCAGAUGAUGCCAUGCUCUGGGGAAAACUCUUUGAGCACACACUGUCUCUCUGCCAGCCCAUUCAGCAGGAACAGGUUCUCUCAAUAAUCCCGGAUCUGACAAAUCAUCUAUCCUGACUGGCAGACUGCAGAGAUUCUCUCGUCUUCAUCUUCUCAGCACUGGGAUUAUAAAUAAGAAUGUGUGACAUCACCACAUCUGGGUGUUUGCCUGAGUGAUGAAAAUUUGAACUUGGGUCCUUAUGCUUGCUUGGCAAAACCUUUACCCACUAAGCCAUCGCCCCAUCCCUCUGGAUUGUCUCAUUUCUGUGAAGGCUUGGGUGGAGGUGUGCGUUUGAGCUGCAGGUCUUCUAUGGACUCACUUGGGUUUGUGUACGGACUUUCCCCCCUUUCCUGGAGUUUCCUCAAGGACAAACUGAACAUUGCAUUAAUCAGCCUUU
rnacentral:lncRNA from 1 species